GACGAACCGUGCAAACGUUAUUCGGAAUCACUGGGCUUAAAGCGCGUGUAGGCGGGACGGCACGUCGGUCGCUGAAAGCCCCCGGCUCAACCGGGGAAUGGGCGCCGAUACGACCGUCCUGGAGGAACGUAGGGGGACCUGGAACUUCCGGUGGAGCGGUGAAAUGCGUUGAGAUCGGAAGGAACGCCCGUGGCGAAAGCGGCUCUCUGGGACGGUACUGACGCUGAGACGCGAAAGCGUGGGGAGCGAACAGG
rnacentral:rRNA from 1 species